UACGUAGGGUGCAAGCGUUAAUCGGAAUUACUGGGCGUAAAGCGUGCGCAGGCGGUUCUAUAAGACAGAGGUGAAAUCCCCGGGCUCAACCUGGGAACUGCAUUUGUGACUGUAGAGCUGGAGUACGGCAGAGGGGGAUGGAAUUCCGCGUGUAGCAGUGAAAUGCGUAGAUAUGCGGAGGAACACCGAUGGCGAAGGCAAUCCCCUGGGCCUGUACUGACGCUCAUGCACGAAAGCGUGGGGAGCAAACAGG
rnacentral:rRNA from 1 species